UAUUCAACCAAUACCAGGUGCACUCUGUCUCCCCUCGGCCAUCCUUCCCUUGCUUCAGACCUAAUGACAAGUGUGGCACAUAUGUCCACUUUCAGGCCUCACAUCUGCCACCUUAGCAAGACAUCACCUCAUCCCCUUGUCACUAGGAAGAGGGCUUCUUCCCCACAUGUCGUCAUAGUGCUCACCUCUGGGCUGAAGGGGAAAGCAUCCCUCCGCUUAAGGCCACAUCUACCUGUCAUUUUCCAUCCCAUUCCUCUCCCACGUUUACUGGGUCUUUCCUCCUGUAGUAUUCCCCCUUUCGCUGUCUCAGUCCCUCCCUUUCCCCCAGGCUCUUCUUCCUCAGCAAUGUGCAGUCUCCCUUUCUUACUGAAAAGAAAGACUUAACCCAGAAGGGCCAACAAGUCCUGGCUGCCUAUCCUUCCUCCCCAGUUUUUACUCCCUCACUCUGGGUCAGUUUUCUUUUCUUUUUUUCUUUAUGUGUGUAUAUAUUAUAUAUAUAUAUACAUAUAUACAUAUAUAUAUACAUAUAUACAUAUAUAUAUACAUAUAUACAUAUAUAUAUACAUAUAUACAUAUACAUAUAUAUAUAUAUAUAUAUAUGUAUAUAUAAUACUUUAAGUUCUAGGGUGCAUGUCAGUUUUCUAUGCUUCACCAGACUAUUUCCAAGCUGCCACAAUCUCCCAGUGACCAAAUAUGAUGAUCUAUUUGCAGCCUUCAUUUUGCUUAAUCUCUCCCUUGAAAUUGCUCUCUUGGUAGGUGGAUCCUGUUUUUCCUUCAAAGAAUUCCUUUUCCUGUUGCAUACUGGUUCCCAGUUUUUCCAUAGGCCUCUUUUUUUUCUUAUUUUUUUAUAUUGAAAAAUUCCACACAUCCAGAAAAAGUUGAAAGGCUAGCACAAUGAAUACUCAGAUACAUACUCUCCACUUGGAUUGAAUAGUUGUUAACAUUUUGCCAGAUUUACUAUUCUCUCCACCCCAUGCAUGUGUACAUAGAAUGACAUUUCGACCCCUGAGUAUUACCACAUAGAUUUCCUGAGCACAAAGACACCGUUCUACAUGAUUACAUUAAGAUGAUCAUGCCUAAAAAUAUAAACAGUAACUUCUUUAUAGCCUCUAAUACAGAGCCCUUAAUCAGUAUUCAACAAUUGUCUCCAGAAUGUUUGUCUUUAAAAACAACGACAACAACCAGGUCCCAUCAAGGUUCAUACAUUCUUUUGGUUUCAACUCUAGUCACUUUCAGUCUACAACAACCCCAACAUAUUUUCCCAUGAUACUUUUUGAAGCAUCCAGGCCAGCUGUCUUAGCAAAUGUCCUCUAUUCUGGAAGUGUCUGAUUGCUUCCUUAGGCCUAUGUCUACACUCCACUCGUGGCUCAUAUCCCUGCAGAGUUGUAAUCUCCUCUGGGCCAGGGACUCCUGAAUAUCUCCAGGCCGAGUGUUCUCCCCGGGCCUGGAGAAAACCUUCAUGCCCAAUCCCUUGCUGCAUGUCUCCACCCCUCCUUGCACAUCCUGCCUCUAUGAGUGGACGAGGCAAAUCUACUCAACCCCACAUCCCACCCCUCACCUGAUAACUAACAUUUACUGGGCACUAACAAUGUAUCAGGCACAUACUACACACUUAACAUGCAUUGCUUUCACAUACCAGCUCCAUGGUAACAUUGCGCUGGCUUUACAGCUAAAGAAACUGAGCUAGAAAGGGGUUAAGUAUCCUGUACAAGAUCACAGCUGGCCAGCAAUAGAGGUGGGAUCCCACUGCAGACAGUCUCCCCCACAGAUGCCAUGCUCCCACUGUACCACCAUGUACUGCUUCCUGAGAUCUCUGCUUCCUUCAGUCGACCCAGCUGACACCUGUUUCCUUCCUAACUCCAACUAAUUAAUUCCAGUUAAUGGAAUUGACUGGAAUUAGUGACAUUAAUAUUUACUGAGCAUUCCCCAUGUGUCAUCAGAGCUGUGCUAAAUGCUUUACAAGAAUAAUUACCUGCCAUAAAGCAACCCUAUGACAUAGGUGCUACUAUGCCCAUUUUGUAGAUGAGACAGGUUCAGGGGAGUUAGUAUCACCUUCAAGUCAUACAGUGGCUAAGAAUCUGUGGUCUCGCUGAAUGCUGGGCGCCUGCUCUGCUAAGUCUAUUUCUACAAAACAUUGCACUGCCUUCCUGUUGCCUGCCAAGCUCAGGGCCCAUUUAUCAUGCAUCUUCCCAUCCUUGUCUCCCCCAACUGUCCCUUACCUGAGUCACAAUUUCGCCAAAGCCAAAGGGAUUGUCCUAAGCCAAUGUUGAUUUAUCACUCUUCCUGCUCAAAAGCCCCCAAGAUCACCUAUCAAUCACCUACUUGAGUGCAAGCUUUGACUCUGUCACCUGACAUUCAAGUCCCCCUCUGCCCCCAUGCCAGUCUUAUCCCCUCCCCUACAUAUGCCCUAUCCUGCAGCCAAAUUGGACUCUGUUCUUCCUGACAAGACCUGGUAUUGGCAUCUCUAUGCCUCAGUUUGCCUUCCCUCCACUUUAAAAAGCCUCUUCAGUCUCGAUACAAAAAACAUCCCACACAUGUUCUAAAACCAUGCUUUCCUUGAUUUCUCCUCAUGUCAAGACAUUUCUUACUUCUCUAGUCUCCUAGCAUUUUGUGCCUCACAACCCUCAGGACAGGCCAGCUAGUGUAUGGCUGUGGGUUUUUAUCUCACCUCCCCUGCCUGACCCUGAGCCCUUGUGGGGAGUAUACUCACCCUACUCCUACAGUGCCUUGCAUUCCGUAGCUGCUCAGUACAUUAACCCAUUCAAUGUCUUUAAGAUUUUUACAAGUUAGUUUUCCUGUAAUUACUAAUCAUUUAUCUUUAAUUCUGAGUAAAAUUCACAACAACAAAUAAAAGGAAAUAGUAGUAAUUUUUUAAGCUGUUUAGUCAAUAAAGAUUUAAUGCGUC
rnacentral:lncRNA from 10 species